AUGCAAUAAUUUACUUUUUAGGAUAAUUCCUAAUGCAUGUUCAAAUAUACAAAUUAAUAAUUUACACAAAUAUAUAUUUAAGUUCCAAUAUAUGAAUAUUCAAGGUAUUGAAUUACGCUUCCGAGGGGACUAUGAGGCUGGGCAUUAAAAUGUGUGUACAUACAUACAUACGUAUUUCUUAUGCAAAACUGGCUUUCCUCUUAAUGCACCAUAAUCUACCAUCGAAACGAGGAUUAUUGUAUUAUAUUCCAUGAAAGCAGUUUAUUACGCCUAGAGUAAUGAUCUUAUGUAAAUGUUUAGCUUGUGAUCAUACUUGUAAAUAGGUAGGUUGCGAGUUAGCGGGAGUUCACGUAAACGCUAACGUAAACGUAAAAUUUGGCGUUAACGUUUACGUUUACGGGGUGUACGAAUUUUGCGUGUGCGAAUUAACGUGAACGUAAACGUGUGCGCUGAAUUUAAUGGUUUGUUUACAUUCUUCAUGCAAUAUUUUGCUUAUUGUAAUUAUUUAAUUUAUCUUAUUAUAAACUAGCUUGAAAUGCCAGUGUUUUCAAAACAAAUAGUAAAUUUACUCUCUGAAUUGACCGACUUCGAAAUAGAGGACAUUCUUCCUUCAAAUAAUUAAAAUUAAUCAAUUAAAAGAAUUAAAAUUUUUAAAUUAAACUCAAUGAUGAACGAGUUCUUUUUCCUUAACUUUCGCUUUUGCAAAAUAAGUUUGAAACCUAAAUGCGCCGUUAAACUUCGGGGCGCGAUUGCUUGUCGGCGGAGACCCUUUGUGCAUUACUCUAAGGAUUGCAUAUCCCAACAGAUACGUCGACUUGAUGUAACUUUUCCUCCUACUCAUUGCAGUCACGGAUUUUUCAUCACGGCAGCCAAACUUCGGAUAACUUUUGUGAAGCAAUGCCAGAUCUUGAGCAUUAUUUAUAUUUUCCAUGAAAUUGUGUGUAUAAGAAAAUCUAGAUGCCAUGUACUAAGGCUUUAUUUCUGUAUUGUAUAAACAAUAAAUUUACUUGUUUCUAAUUAA